rnacentral:rRNA from 16 species
GGAUGCGAUCAUACCAGCACUAAAGCACCGGAUCCCAUCAGAACUCCGAAGUUAAGCGUGCUUGGGCGAGAGUAGUACUAGGAUGGGUGAGCUCCUGGGAAGUCCUCGUGUUGCAUUCC